UUCGGGUGAGGCAAGCGUUGUUCGGAAUCACUGGGCUUAAAGCGCGUGUAGGCGGUUCGGUAAGUACCUUGUGAAAUCCCUUUUCUCAAUGAAGGAAUGGCUGGGUAUACUGCCGGACUGGAGGCAGGUAGGGGUCACUGGAACUCUAGGUGGAGCGGUGAAAUGCGUAGAUAUCGAGAGGAACACCUGCGGCGAAGGCGGGU
rnacentral:rRNA from 1 species